AAAACAUCUGCUGAAAAACUUGUUCAAAAAUCCAGUAAAUUUGAAGAUAAAUGCUAGCUGCUAAAAUGCUCUCCAUAACAGAUAUUACUGCAUGUGCUGAAUACUGUAACAAGAAACAAAGCCAGAGUGCACACUGAGAACUGAGUCUUUGAAGUUUCAAGCAGUUAGCCUAAAUCAUUUUGGAUCUCCAGUUCAAAAUGUAUUCGUCCUUGCAGGGCAAAAAGAAGUGAAACUGAAAAUUCAAAGCAUUUCUGCCAGAGAACCCUUGAACUUAGGAAGACCAAAUAUUGAAGGGCAAGGUAAGACUGGUGAAUGACAAACUUUCCAAAUAUCAACAAAAUCUAUGGGAAAAAUUUAUGCAGAAAUUGCAGUAAAUUCACAAUUUCCUGCUAGGGCCAAAUCCUACCCAAUAGAAGGUGUUCUUGCAUGUGCUGAGAAAUGAUUCUGCGUAGGGAUACUUCAACAGGGAUCAAAGCAUGGAGUGCACACUAAAAACUACCCGAGUCUGGGAAGUUUAGAAGACCUUGCACAAACUCUCUUCGAUUUCCAUUUCCAAUUGCAUUCAUUGGUAUAGUGUAAAACAAAGUGAAACCAGAAAAUUCAAAGCCUUCUUUGUAGGAAAAUCUUGAACCUAGAAGGACCAUAUUUGGGGACCUAGAUGAGACUGGAGAAAGUAUCUCUGGCCCAGCAUCAACAACAUUUGCAGGAAAAAUUUGAGCAGAUAUUCCAGUAAAUUUGAACUCUCCUACAAGAUUCCAAAAUGCUCCCAAUAGAAGGUGCUCCUGCACUUGCUGAGAAAUGCUUCUGCUUAGGGCUACAUAAAUAGGGAACAGAAGACUACUGUGUGUGUGGAGUUUCAAGUCAGUAGCACCAACCGCUUUGGAUUUCUAAUUCCAAAAACAUUGAUCCAUACAGGGAAAAUCGAAGUGAAUCCUGAAAAUUUGAAGCCUACUUGCCAGUGAAUCCUUGAACCUAGGAAUACCAAAUGUGGGGUGCAAGAUGGGAAUGGUGAAAGAUCCAUCCUUCACUGUACUGAUGAAAUCCAUAAGAAAACUUUGCCUAGAGAUUCCAUUAAAUAGGGUCUUUCUUGCAAGGUUCUGGAAUGCUCCUCAAAAAAGCUGUUCCUGCACUUCUGAGAAAUGUUUCUGAUUUGGGCUACUUCAAUAGGAAACAGAGCACAGAGUGCACACUGUGAACUAACUGAGUGUGUCACCUUUGAAGAAACUAGCACGAAACAUGUUGGAUUUCCAGUUUCAAUUGUAUUCUUCACUACAGUUCAAAAUGAAGUGAAACCUGCAAAUUGAAAGCGUCCCUGCCAGUGAAUCUUUGAAACUGGAAUGACCAAAUUUGCUGGGCUAAUGAAACUUGUG
rnacentral:lncRNA from 1 species